GAAAUGCGAUAAGUAAUGUGAAUUGUAGAAUUCAGUGAAUCAUCGAAUCUUUGAACGCACCUUGCGCUCCUUGGUAUUCCUUGGAGCAUGCCUGUUUGAGUAUCAUGAAAUCUUCAAAGUAAAUCUUUUGUUAACUCAAUUGGUUUCUACUUUGGUAUUGGAGGUCUUUGCAGCUUCACACCUGCUCCUCUUUGUUCAUUAGCUGGAUGUCAGUGUUAUGCUUGGUUCCACUCGGCGUGAUAAGUUAUCUAUCGCUGAGGACACUGUAAAAGGUGGCCAAGGUAAAUGCAGUUGAACCGCUUCUAAUAGUCCAUUGACUUGGACAAUACUUUUAUGAUCUGAUCUCAAAUCAGGUAGGACUACCCGCUGAACUUAAGC
rnacentral:misc_RNA from 1 species